AUGGUCACUUGGAUGGUAAGGCAUGCGCGGCCUUGCACUUCUGAAGGAACCACGAGGUUCCUGCUCUCAGGGCAUUUACACAACAAUUUUAUGAACAAACAGGUUAGCAGAGCACAUCGUUGCAUUCCUGAACGAGAGCUGAAGUUAGCAUCUUCCUCUGAGACCCCAAGUGGUGUCUCUCUAACGACAAGGGAAUAUUCUUGCACAUGUGCAGAUGUCGGGCAGUGGGCGGCAAGAGAAGGGACAGAGCUGCUUACAUCUGUUUCUUUUGUAACCAAGAGCGAAACUGUGGUGCUCAGGCAGCCCAGCAGGGCCAAUCGGCACAAUGCCCAAACACACCGACAACUUUUGCCUUGGCCUCCUCUUGGCUCUCCCUGCAGCAAACCUGUGAACACAGGGCCAGAGCCAGGCUCUGGAUGGAAGGACUCAAAGGUGUCCUGCCUUUCUGUUGCUUCCAUCUGCACCAUCACUGGAAAAAUCCUUCUACGUCCAUGCCUGUCCUUCGACGUAUACAAGCAGGUUUUGAUUUCACACGUGGAGUUUUCUAGUGGAACAUUACGUUGAGUUACAUGUCAUCAGUCAUACACCACCAAGCCACCCUCCGGUAACUCACUGGGACAUGGAGCAAGUGUCCUUGGCUGCAACAGUUACAGAGCAUGGGGUGGACCCCAGGACGUCACUGCCACCUUCUGUGGACACCUCUGCUGACCUUCCCUACCCUUGUUCAUCCAUGCUCCCCUGCCUUCCUUCCAACACCUGUUUUUUUCUCCCUUGAGAAGGAGGAAGGCAGGUGGGGGUCUUGCGGCAGAUCUUGGCCCCAGCCUUGCUUCGUCUCUUUACAGUGGAUCUUCAAGCUACAUACUUCCCUAAGCUCGGGUUACUCCUCUAAAAAUGGGCACAAUAGUACUUGCCUGCUGAAGUGAUCCAGAAACUUGCUGAGUUUUUCCUUCAAAUAAAUAAACAAGUAAAACCAACCAUUUCCUACUUAGACCCUCCGUCCUAACUUCUGCAUUUGUUUGCUAUUUUUCCUUCACUGCACUGGGAUGAAGGAUGCCAGAUUCAGAUCACCUGGCUUUCUCCUUCCAGAAGCAGCUGGUGUCUUGAGUGCUGCUGUGAAGGUGAAGUCUUCACAAAAGGGAUGUAUGUUCUGAUCCUAUUAGGACUUGGGCAUGGUAGGGAAAUCCCAUGUGUUUCUGAGCCUGCCCUCGAUCCUUACAGAGAAAGAAAGUUGUUAACAUUUGGUGUCUAGAGCAUACUCAAGUAGUGUGGCCGUCAGGCCUUCCUGCUCCUCCGCAAGGAGCCUUGGCAAGGGUGAACCUGGUUCUGACCCACAUAGCCCACUUCCUCACUUCUGCCCCCUCUGCUGGACACUUCUCAACUCUGUGGGGCCCUCUUCAGCCUGGAGAGGACAUUUUACUCUCAACUCCGGUGCCUGCGGGGUCCAACGCCAGCUGUUGGUCCACAUAGUCAAUAGCUGGAGAGCAGGUGAGGAGAGUCGCAUUCUAAUCUCAGCUCUGCCCUUGUUCCUUCAGGAGUUUCUGGGGUGGAGGUAGGAGUCUUUGUCUCCUCUCUGGCUACAAAAGGCUCCCAUCGCUGCCCACUGCUGCUCCGCGGCCACUGUGAAAGCUGAGAGUAAGUCAGUGUUGAGCAGUACCAUGGAGUAGCAUGAAGAGCCGGGGCCCACCAGGCCUGUGCACGCCAAGGCUGGAGCCCGGGUGCUGGCCCGUGUUCAAGCAGGGGAGCCAGACCGGGGCAGAAGUCAUUGUACGGUUUAAAAUAUGUCCAUGUAUUGUGUUUCUUAAUAACGAGUGAUCUUAUCUCCUGAUAUCAUUAUGUAUUAUUGUACAUAUUUCCUGAUAGCAGAUUACAAAUUAUGCUGAGGGCAGGCAAUGCACUAUAGACACAGGGACCACACAUCUGUCAUGGGUUCUUUGCUGUCUGCACACAGGACACACAUCUUGCCUUGCUUAUAUGACCCUCCAUGGUGCUCCUAUUUAUUGUAUACUGUCAGAGGUUGUUUCUAGCUGUGUGGUAUGUUGUCAACUGUAAGGAUAUCCUGAUGUAGACCUCUAAGAACCUGGCCUGCUUUUGCAUUGUACCUGCCUGUGAACCCUGGGAGUAAACUUCAUUGCCUGUCAGCCCCAGCCUCACCCUAAGAGAUGCCAGGGUGGGAGGGAACCUGCCCUGGUCACAGUGAGUGAGUGACCAACUAGCCAGGGUAGAAUCUGGGAUUCAAGACCUCUUGGCCAGAGGCAAGACUGUUCUUAUCCCUUGGAUUCCUUGUCUGAAGAGGGAUUCACAUAGUUUUAACUGUGACUUCAUGGCAACCUGUCACUGUGCUGUUCAGCUGACUCUCCCAUUGUGGAGCUAGGGAACCCUGAGAGGCAGUGGAACUCAGUAUCCCUGCUGAGCACAAGCCAGUAGCCAGGCUCACGGCCUCCUCAGCCAUGGACAGGUGGACGUGCCACAUUCAGCCACUGAGAGUGUGCAGGCUGUCACAAUUGCUUCCCCUGAGACAGUUGCUCUGGGUGUCAGUAAAGUCACUGAUGCCCAGCCCUAACCUGAGAGAAUCUGAUUAUUCAGCCUGGCUGGAUGGAAAAGGAGGGAACAAAAGCCAUCUAGUGAGCAGAAGUGGAACAGCUGAAGCAGAGUCUGCCCGCUGCUCCCACUCCUUCCUUGCAGGAGAUGCCUUGUGCAAGGCACGUCUCUAUGGAAGGUUCCUCCUUGGGGCCCUUAUUUCACCUACCCAAAGGCAGGGAAAUGGGGUGCAGCCCUUUAGGCUCGAGUCACAUCAUCUUAGUGUUGCUGGAGCUGGGACAGUAUUUCUGAGCCACCCAGCCUGUGGGUAGAGCCCAAAGUCUUGACAAGAUCAGUCCAGGCUGGUACCUGCUGUGGACAUUGGCACAGGAGGACCUGAAUGUAGACCCAGACACCAGUCCUGCUCUCUCCUUACUCUGUGACAGUGGUGGCGAACCUAUGGCACACAUGCCACAGCGGGCACACAGAACCCUCUGUCAGCAGUGAGCCAAGUCACUCUGGCAGCCGAGUGUCGGAUAACAGUUGUUUUUUCUAAACUAAAACUUCCGUAUCAGGUUUAAUUGCAGUGUUGGCACUUGGCGAUAAAUAAGUAUGUUUGGUGUUGCAGUCUGGGCACUCAAGUCUCUAAAAGGUUCGCCAUCACUGCUCUAUGACCUUGAACGAUGGACUCAACUUCUCAACCCUCAGUAUGUUCUCUAUCUAAAUCCUACCUGCUUUUAUUCUUAAUUUUUCUUUUUAUCAAAAUAAUACAUUUUUUAAAAAGUGGAACUGGGGCCGGGGAUUUAGCUCAGUGGUUCAGCCGCCUGCUUUGCAAGUGGAAGGACCCAGGUUCAAUCCCCAGUACCAAAAAAAAAAAAAAAAAGUUGAACAAUACUGAAACACUGCUAAUGCAGAAAUAGGUUCUUCUCACUACCCCGAGCUCCACAAUUCAUGACCCACUGGUUCCAAUUCUCUUGGUCAUUUCUUCUAUUUCUCUUUAUAUUUCUAAAUAAUUCAUUUAUAUUGCUAUUUGUUGCUCUUUUGCCUUUAGGACACUGCCUUCCUGCUAUGGAGAAGUGAGUUCUGAUAGCCACAUCGCCAAACAUCCCCUCCUCAGCCUUCUAAGGGCAUGAUUUGGGGUAAAUUGAUUUUGAGCAUUUACAUGCUUAAAACUACUGUAUACAUUAACAUUGUUUUCUGCUAAGUCAAAUGUACAAUUCUAUUCCUUUCUACUACACUCCUUUGGUCUUUUUUCUGAAGUUUGUAAUUAAUUACUCCCCACCCCCCAUUUUCUUCUUUACAAAAUUAGAACAGGCCAACCAAACACUGUAAAACUCUCCUCAACAUGACUAAGCCCAGCAGGUAUCAUCAUGGAUUCUGUGUUUCCUGGAGAUGUUGCUCCAGGAACCCCUCACUGCCCCACUCCACUCCUUCCGUAUCAUCUACUGGCCCCCAGAGUGAAGGGACCAAGGCUCAGAGAGGUAGAAAGAUUGGGAUGCAGAUAUGAUCAAGGGUCAAUAUACUACAGUACAGUGGGGUGCAGUCACAUCAGUAGGGCCACUCGGUGGCUUUAAUGUCUGUAGUGUGGGGCAAGGGCUUCUGUCACUGAUUGCAGAGGGCAGAGGCAGAGGCAAGUCUCCCUGUGAUCCUUUGUGGCCCUUCCUGGGGAGUCCCAUGCAAGCCCAUUUCCAUCCCCUGUGUGUGAUAGUUAAUCUAGUAUGUCAGCUUGAAUAAGAAAUACCAGUUCGAUUGGCUCGAUGUAGUUCUGGGUGUAGUUCUAGGGUGGAAGACCCAUCCUAGGGAGCAUUAUCUCCAGAAUGGUAUAAACGGGAAACUAAGAAAGAAGGCUUGCUUCUGUUUCUUCAGAGGAGCUACAGCCUUCGCCUUCACCUUGGAUGGCGUGGCCUGGCCUCCAGUGCAGACCCUUCAGCCUCUUGAUAUAGACUCGCAUGGAACACUACAGUGAGUUCCAGGCCUUUGACUGUAUCCUUUGGACCCCCAGUGAACAGAUAGACCUUUUGCACUUUUCCACACCUGACUCUGUGGGCGGCCACUGUAAACCAAUCUUGUAAGUUCUUAUAUAUUUGUAUUUCUUGUAUUAAAUCUGU
rnacentral:lncRNA from 1 species